rnacentral:rRNA from 1 species
UGGGGAAUAUUGCACAAUGGGGGAAACCCUGAUGCAGCCACGCCGCGUGAACGAAGAAGGUAUUCGUAUCGUAAAGUUCUGUCCUAUGGGAAGAUAAUGACAGUACCAUAGAAGAAAGCUCCGGCUAAAUACGUGCCAGCAGCCGCGGUAAUACGUAUGGAGCGAGCGUUGUCCGGAAUUAUUGGGCGUAAAGGGUACGCAGGCGGUUUAAUAAGUCGAAUGUUAAAGAUCGGGGCUCAACCCCGUAAAGCAUUGGAAACUGAUAAAGUUGAGUAGUGGAGAGGAAAGUGGAAUUCCUAGUGUAGUGGUGAAAUACGUAGAUAUUAGGAGGAAAACCAGUAGCGAAGGCGACUUUCUGGACACAAACUGACGCUGAAGUACGAAAGCGUGGGGAGCAAACAGG